UCCUGUUAGGACGCCAUCUUGUUUAUGUGGCUGUGAUGAAGUGGUCUGGGGCUUGCAUUCUCCUACCUCAGCAGCCUUCCUUGACAUUCUACAAACUCCCAGCUCCAGACCCACAGAUUCUCUUCCAGGGCAGCCUGUGAGGACGGUGGUGACAGAUCUCUGCCUUCAGGCCACCCUAUGGAGCACACUGAUAAAGUGAACCUUUUACAAAGAAGAGCAUGAAGCUGGGGCAUUUACCAAAGGCAAUACAUAUAUUGGCCUGAACAGGUCAUUUCCCAGCAGCACCAAGGUAGACAUUCAGAAGCAGGUGAUGUUCAUAUGGACAACCAAGUAAGACAUGCUCCGUAUGCCAUUCCACCCCAUCGUCAGAGAAGUAGUUUUCAGAAACAAGACCAAAUGCAUGUUAACUUGGAGACAAAGCAAAAGCCUCCAGAGAGAAGAAUGGAGAGAAACAGACAGGAGCAAACGUUUGGGAGCUGGUUCAAGAUCAUAAUUCCCUUUGGUAUAAAAUAUGAUGAGAAGUGGCUGCUUAAUUUGAUUCUGAAGCAGUGCAGUGUGCCCUUCAUUCCAGUCAAAUUUCACUAUGAGAAAAUUCAAGCCCAGUUCUUCGUAGAGAAAGUCAGUAUUGCCUGUGCAUUGAAGAAUGUCAACGGCAAGAUUUUCAGUGAGGAUAUCUAUCUUUGUUGAACCCUGUGACACACCCCAGUCUGUGCAGAAGGCACUGAAGUCUGAAAAGCUUUUGUCCUUGAACCUGAGCAACAAGAAGUCCUACCUGGUGCAUGGCCUGUUCACCAUUAUGGAGAAUGCUUCCACCAAAAACUUGAACCUCUCCAGCACUGAGCACCAUCCUGGAAUUGUUCCCCAGGUUUCUAAGCUUGGUAAGUGCAUUCCUUGAUCACAGACUCCUCUAAAUAGCAUUGACAGUGCCCACAAACUACUCUG